AAGAAAAAAAAAAAAAAAGAGGAGUGGAAGAGCAAUCUAAGUACCAGACUCACGAUAUCACCAUUUCUUUCUCUUCCUUUGGCAAUUGACUUCUACUUCUUGCUUCAACCAAGGAAACCAAUCAAAACUACAAAAUUUAUUGUCAACCAUCAUCACACUUCAACUCUUGUUCGUCUCUUCAAUAGUUCUAGAUUUUUCUUGUGGGUCUUUCAAAGAGUGAAUUUUUGGGGUUUAUUUUGGACGUUUUGGGACGAACUUCGGAUCGAAAGGGCGGUUUUCGAGUAUUUCUUGUGUGAUUUUUGUCUCCCAUAUUCAAGGACUUGAAGAUAGUUAGCUCCAGUUGGGUUAAAGAGUGCGUUGGAUCCAUUUUGAUUUAGUAGGACUUUAAAAAGACUUCCGCUGUUAUUUAUUUAUAGGAUUAUGUUCUGGGUUGUAAUAAUUAAUUUUACAUUCUAUUUAGUUGGUCUGUAAUAAUUAGUUAAAACUUAUUGGUUAUUGUUUUAGUUAGAACCAUUAGCCUUGCGGUUAUUAUUAAUAAUUAUCGCGGCGUAGCACCUUUGGAUUUC